rnacentral:rRNA from 1 species
UCUCUAGAUACACCACUCAGAAUUCACCUGGUCUUGUCUAAUGUCGGAAGCUAAGCAGAGUUGGGCUUUGUUAGUUUUUGGAUGGGGAGAAAAGGACAUGAGAA